UCAUCACCAUCGAACAUCCUAAUUUACCCCUUCUUUGUAAACGUGUUAGGUUUUGCAUUCUUUUCUUCAAUAGCUCAGGUGUUAUUCUGUCAUGUUGAUCCAUCUCCCUCACCUGUAACUGAAGAACACCGGUUUUUAAGCAUGGCAUCAAGUUAUCUUCCUCAAUAAUUAAUUAGCCUUUGGGUUC